UACGUAGGGUGCGAGCGUUAAUCGGGAAUUACUGGGCGUAAAGCGUGCGCAGGCGGUUUCUUAAGUCUGUCGUGAAAGCCCUGGGCUCAACCUGGGAACGGCGAUGGAUACUGGGAAGCUAGAAUGUGAGAGAGGAUGGUGGAAUUCCCGGUGUAGCGGUGAAAUGCGUAAAGAUCGGGAGGAACACCAGUGGCGAAGGCGGCCUCUGGCUCAACAUUGACGCUGAGGCACGAAAGCGUGGGGAGCAAACAGG
rnacentral:rRNA from 1 species